rnacentral:lncRNA from 1 species
GUGAAAUUGUGUUUGUAUGUGUAAGGGCUGCAAGGUGUGUUUCUGUGUAUGUAUGGGAUGCAUUGAAUGUGUGUAAGUGGUGCAUUGAGUGUGUGUAAUGAAUGCAUUGUGUGUUUCUGUGUGUGUAAGGGAUGCAUUGUGUGUAACGGUUGCAUUGCUUGUGUAUGUGUGUGUGUGUGUGUGUGUAAUGCAUUGUGUGUUUUUCUGUGUGCAAGGGAUGCAUUGUGUGUAUGUGAUGAAUGUCAAUCUCUCCUCCCGCUCCAAUUUCCUUCUCCUCCUCCCAAUUUCUC